rnacentral:tRNA from 1 species
GGCACUGUGGCUUAGUUGGUCGAAGUGCCUGUCUAGUAAACAGGAGAUCCUGGGUUCAAAACCCAGCAGUGCCU